GGUUAAGCGACUAAGCGUACACGGUGGAUGCCCUGGCAGUCAGAGGCGAUGAAGGACGUGCUAAUCUGCGAAAAGCGUCGGUAAGGUGAUAUGAACCGUUAUAACCGGCGAUGUCCGAAUGGGGAAACCCAGUGCAAUUCGUUGCACUAUCGUUAACUGAAUACAUAGGUUAACGAGGCGAACCGGGGGAACUGAAACAUCUAAGUACCCCGAGGAAAAGAAAUCAACCGAGAUUCCCCCAGUAGCGGCGAGCGAACGGGGAGCAGCCCAGAGUCUGAAUCAGCUUGUGUGUUAGUGGAACGGUCUGGAAAGUCCGACGGUACAGGGUGAUAGUCCCGUACACCAAAAUGCACAGGCUGUGAACUCGAAGAGUAGGGCGGGACACGUGGUAUCCUGUCUGAAUAUGGGGGGACCAUCCUCCAAGGCUAAAUACUCCUGACUGACCGAUAGUGAACCAGUACCGUGAGGGAAAGGCGAAAAGAACCCCGGCGAGGGGAGUGAAAAAGAACCUGAAACCGUGUACGUACAAGCAGUGGGAGCACCUUCGGGUGUGACUGCGUACCUUUUGUAUAAUGGGUCAGCGACUUAUAUUCUGUAGCAAGGUUAACCGUAUAGGGGAGCCGCAGGGAAACCGAGUCUUAACUGGGCGUUAAGUUGCAGGGUAUAGACCCGAAACCCGGUGAUCUAGCCAUGGGCAGGUUGAAGGUUGGGUAACACUAACUGGAGGACCGAACCGACUAAUGUUGAAAAAUUAGCGGAUGACUUGUGGCUGGGGGUGAAAGGCCAAUCAAACCGGGAGAUAGCUGGUUCUCCCCGAAAGCUAUUUAGGUAGCGCCUCGUGAACUCAUCUUCGGGGGUAGAGCACUGUUUCGGCUAGGGGGUCAUCCCGACUUACCAACCCGAUGCAAACUACGAAUACCGAAGAAUGUUAUCACGGGAGACACACGGCGGGUGCUAACGUCCGUCGUGAAGAGGGAAACAACCCAGACCGCCAGCUAAGGUCCCAAAGUCAUGGUUAAGUGGGAAACGAUGUGGGAAGGCACAGACAGCCAGGAUGUUGGCUUAGAAGCAGCCAUCAUUUAAAGAAAGCGUAAUAGCUCACUGGUCGAGUCGGCCUGCGCGGAAGAUGUAACGGGGCUAAACCAUGCACCGAAGCUGCGGCAGCGACACUAUGUGUUGUUGGGUAGGGGAGCGUUCUGUAAGCCUGCGAAGGUGACCUGUGAGGGUUGCUGGAGGUAUCAGAAGUGCGAAUGCUGACAUAAGUAACGAUAAAGCGGGUGAAAAGCCCGCUCGCCGGAAGACCAAGGGUUCCUGUCCAACGUUAAUCGGGGCAGGGUGAGUCGACCCCUAAGGCGAGGCCGAAAGGCGUAGUCGAUGGGAAACAGGUUAAUAUUCCUGUACUUGGUGUUACUGCGAAGGGGGGACGGAGAAGGCUAUGUUAGCCGGGCGACGGUUGUCCCGGUUUAAGCAUGUAGGCUGGUUGUCCAGGCAAAUCCGGAUAAUCAAGGCUGAGGUGUGAUGACGAGGCACUACGGUGCUGAAGUAACAAAUGCCCUGCUUCCAGGAAAAGCCUCUAAGCAUCAGGUAACAUUAAAUCGUACCCCAAACCGACACAGGUGGUCAGGUAGAGAAUACCAAGGCGCUUGAGAGAACUCGGGUGAAGGAACUAGGCAAAAUGGUGCCGUAACUUCGGGAGAAGGCACGCUGGUGUGUAGGUGAAGUCCCUGCGGAUGGAGCUGAGACCAGUCGAAGAUACCAGCUGGCUGCAACUGUUUAUUAAAAACACAGCACUGUGCAAACACGAAAGUGGACGUAUACGGUGUGACGCCUGCCCGGUGCCGGAAGGUUAAUUGAUGGGGUUAUCCGUAAGGAGAAGCUCUUGAUCGAAGCCCCGGUAAACGGCGGCCGUAACUAUAACGGUCCUAAGGUAGCGAAAUUCCUUGUCGGGUAAGUUCCGACCUGCACGAAUGGCGUAAUGAUGGCCAGGCUGUCUCCACCCGAGACUCAGUGAAAUUGAACUCGCUGUGAAGAUGCAGUGUACCCGCGGCAAGACGGAAAGACCCCGUGAACCUUUACUAUAGCUUGACACUGAACAUUGAGCCUUGAUGUGUAGGAUAGGUGGGAGGCUUUGAAGCGUGGACGCCAGUCUGCGUGGAGCCAACCUUGAAAUACCACCCUUUAAUGUUUGAUGUUCUAACGUUGGCCCCUGACCGGGGUUGCGGACAGUGUCUGGUGGGUAGUUUGACUGGGGCGGUCUCCUCCCAAAGCGUAACGGAGGAGCACGAAGGUUAGCUAAUCCUGGUCGGACAUCAGGAGGUUAGUGCAAUGGCAUAAGCUAGCUUGACUGCGAGCGUGACGGCGCGAGCAGGUGCGAAAGCAGGUCAUAGUGAUCCGGUGGUUCUGAAUGGAAGGGCCAUCGCUCAACGGAUAAAAGGUACUCCGGGGAUAACAGGCUGAUACCGCCCAAGAGUUCAUAUCGACGGCGGUGUUUGGCACCUCGAUGUCGGCUCAUCACAUCCUGGGGCUGAAGUAGGUCCCAAGGGUAUGGCUGUUCGCCAUUUAAAGUGGUACGCGAGCUGGGUUUAGAACGUCGUGAGACAGUUCGGUCCCUAUCUGCCGUGGGCGCUGGAGAAUUGAGGGGGGCUGCUCCUAGUACGAGAGGACCGGAGUGGACGCAUCACUGGUGUUCGGGUUGUCAUGCCAAUGGCACUGCCCGGUAGCUAAAUGCGGAAGAGAUAAGUGCUGAAAGCAUCUAAGCACGAAACUUGCCCCGAGAUGAGUUCUCCCUGAGACUUUAAGUCUCCUGAAGGAACGUUGAAGACGACGACGUUGAUAGGCCGGGUGUGUAAGCGCAGCGAUGCGUUGAGCUAACCGGUACUAAUGAACCGUGAGGCUUAACCUU
rnacentral:rRNA from 1 species